AUUGAACGCUGGCGGCAUGCCUUACACAUGCAAGUCGAGCGGUGACGGGCCUUCGGGUGCCGACGAGUGGCGAACGGGUGAGUAAUGCAUCGGAACGUACCUUUCAGUGGGGGGUAACGUAGCGAAAGUUACGCUAAUACCGCAUAUUCUGUGCGCAGGAAAGCAGGGGAUCGCAAGACCUUGCGCUGAUUGAGCGGCCGAUAUCAGAUUAGCUAGUUGGUGAGGUAAAGGCUCACCAAGGCGACGAUCUGUAGCGGGUCUGAGAGGAUGAUCCGCCACACUGGAACUGAGACACGGUCCAGACUCCUACGGGAGGCAGCAGUGGGGAAUUUUGGACAAUGGGGGCAACCCUGAUCCAGCCAUGCCGCGUGCAGGAAGAAGGCCUUCGGGUUGUAAACUGCUUUUGUCAGGGAAGAAAUCCUCUAGGUUAAUACCCUUGGGGGGAUGACGGUACCUGAAGAAUAAGCACCGGCUAACUACGUGCCAGCAGCCGCAGUAAGAC
rnacentral:rRNA from 1 species